rnacentral:rRNA from 1 species
UACGUAGGGUGCGAGCGUUGUCCGGAAUUAUUGGGCGUAAAGGGCUCGUAUGCGGUUUGUCGCGUCGGGAGUGAAAACACCGGGCUUAACUCGGUGCUUGCUUUCGAUACGGGCAGACUAGAGGCAUGCAGGGGAGAACGGAAUUCCUGGUGUAGCGGUGAAAUGCGCAGAUAUCAGGAAGAACACCAAUGGCGAAGGCAGCUCUCUGGGACGGUACUGACGCUGAGACGCGAAAGCGUGGGGAGCGAACAGG